GCAAGCUGUAGUCGGUUCAGGCCCAACUAAAGGGAAAACAAGUAACAGCCUCAAUUGGUCCUUCAAUUCAUCACGACAGAACCAGUACAAUUGCCCAAACCCUAACAAAAAAUUGACAACUUCGCGAGCAGGUGCCGGAGCUGCCUUGCCCAUCGGAGCAGUUCCCCCGCCAUUUAAACGACUCAGCGAAGCUGAGUUGAGGAGUAAGAAGGAGAGAGGACUAUGUUUUCGUUGUGACGAAAAGUACUCAAUCGGGCACAAAUGCAAAAACAAAGAGUUGCAGGUAAUGUUGAUAUUUGAUGAACAAAGAGACGAGCAGUAGGGGGAAGAAAUAGUAGCAAAGGCGUCGAAUGAAGGGGAAAAAUCUGAUGAAUGGGAGGUAGUGGAAUUAUCCUUAAAACUCAGUGGUAGGGCUUACUCCGCCACAGACCAUGAAGAUUAAAGGAAAAAUUCAGGCAGAGGAAGUGGUGGUUUUAAUCGAUUGCGGGGCCAGCCAUAACUUCGUGUCGGCAAACUUAGUGCAAAAAUUGGGUUUGUUGAGAACCGAGACAUUGAGUUAUGGGGUAGUCAUGGGAACGGGGCUGGCUGUCCAAGGGGCAGAGGUACGCAAGGGAGUAAAAUUAUUCCUUCAAAACUUGGAGGUGGUGGAGGAUUUCCUCCCUUUGGAAUUAGGGAGCUCCGACGUAAUCCUGGGAAUGAAGGGGUUGUCCACCUUGAGCCCAACGAAGGUGGACUGGGAAUCUCUUACGAUGAAAUUUCGAUCAGGUGGGAACAUCGUUACCUUGCAAGGGGAUCCUAGUCUUAGUAAGAUUGUAGUCACUCUGAAGGCGAUGAUGAAAGCAUUCAGGGAAGGGGGGAAGGAAUACUCCUGGGAAGUUUGGGAAUUGAAGAGGAAAAAGGGGAACGAAAAAUUCUAGCCCAAGUUGGGGAAGUCUUGAAGGAGUUUGAAGAAGUGUUUGCAGAGCCCGUGGGGCUGCCACCAUGGCGGGGAAAGGAUCACGCGAUCAAUCUUCAUCCUGGGAUAGAACCAGUUAGCGUGAGGCCUUAUCGUUAUCCACACCUGCAGAAAAAUGAUAUAGAGAAGUUGGUGAAGGAAAUGUUAGCAACGGGGAUAAUCCGACCAAGCAAUAGUGCAUUCUCCAGUCCAGUUUUGCUAGUGAGAAAGAAAGAUGGGGGAUGGCGCUUUUGUGUGGAUUAUAGAGCGGUGAACAAGGUAACAGUGUUGGAUAAGUUUCCCAUUCCAAUGAUAGAUGAAUUAUUGGAUGAAUUGCACGAGGCAGCCAUUUUCUCUAAGACCCGAAGGCGGGGUAUCAUUAAAUUCGGGUGAAACCUGAGGACAUUCCUAAAACGGCUUUUAGGACGCACGAAGGGCAUUUUGAAUUUCUGGUGAUGCCUUUCGAGCUGACUAAUGCGCCUGCCACUUUUCAAUCGCUUAUAAAUGAGGUGUUUAAAGAGCAAUUGAGGCAAUUUGUGUUAGUAUUCUUCGAUGAUAUUUUGGUGUUUAGCCAUAAUCUGGAAGAGCACGUGGAGCAUUUAAAGUGUGUCUUGGGAAUACUAUCGCAACAUCAAUUGUAUGACAAUCACAAGAAAUGUAGUUUUGGGUAAGAAGAGAUAGAAUAUUUGGGGCACAUCAUAUCACGGGGUGUAGCCGCUGAUUAGUCAAAAAUUCAAGCAAUGUUGAAAUGGCCGACUCCCAGAUCAUUAACAGAACUUCGUGGGUUCCUAGAGCUGACACGCUACUAUCGCCGGUUCGUGAAGGAUUAUGGUAAGAUGGCGUGGCCCUUAACGGAGAGAUUACGCAGGGGAAAUUUUUUUUGGGAUGAGGCAGCGGAGCAGGCAUUUCAGAGGCUAAAAACGGCCAUGAUGUCCUUGCCAGUCCUUGCACUUCUAGACUUUAGCCGGCCUUUUGUUAUAGAAAUUGAUGCAUCAAGGUCCAGCCUAGGGGCAGCUUUGAUGCCAGACCAGCACCCCAUUGCAUUUUAUAGUCACACCCUUAAGCCAAAUGGAAGGGUGAAGUCAGCAUAUGAGAGGGAGUUGAUGGCUGUGGCGUUCGCAGUACAAAAAUGGAGACACUAUUUACUGGGGCAUAAAUUUUAUGUGAGAACCGAUCAAAAGAACUUGAAAUUCUUGUUAGAACAAAGGGAGGUAAACCCAGAAUAUCAGAAAUGGCUACAUAAACUAAUGGGGUACCAGUUUGAAAUUCAAUAUCGACCGGGAUGUGAAAACAAGGCAGCCGAUGCACUUUCCCGAGUCAAUUCAUCUGUUUUGUUGAUGACUUUAUCCAUACCGUCGGUAUUACAGUUGGACAUAUUAACAAAAGAGGUGAGAGAAGAUCCUCAGUUACUUCGUAUUGUUCAAGAAUUGGAGUAAGAUCCUACCAGCCAUCCCGAGUAUGCAAUUGUAAAUGGACAAUUGUUAUUCAAGGGUCGACUGCUACAGCCAAAACAAUCAACCUUGAUUCCUUUAAUGCUACAUGAGGGGCAUGACAGUAAAGUGGGAGGUCAUUCUGGCUUCCUUAAAACUUAUAAGAGGAUUGCUGCAAAUGUUUAUUGGGAAGGUAUGAAGUUUGUGAUACACAGUUAUGUUAGCAGAUGUACGGUGUGCCAACAGAACAAAUACUUAGCCCUAUCACCAAGGGGGUUGCUGCAACCUCUUCCAAUUCCUAAUAAGGUAUGGGAGGAUAUAGCUAUGGAUUUCAUUGAAGGCCUUCCUAAAUCAGGCUCCAUGGAUACAAUACUAGUGGUUGUAGACCGAUUGAGUAAAUAUGGCCAUUUUAUAGGCCUAAAGCACCCUUUUACAAUGGCAGGUGUGGCUGGAAUUUUUGUUAAAGAGGUUGUGCGACUACAUGGGGUGCCCCAUUCCAUAGUUUCAGAUAGGGAUAAGAAACUUGUGAGCCAUUUUUGGGAGGAGGAGUUUCGUUUACAAGGAACAAAGCUUAAUCGAAGUACAGCUUACCACCCUCAGUCGGACGGGCAGUUGGAAGUAUUGAACCGCGUUCUAGAAACCUAUCGGAGGUGCUUUGCAUCUUCUUAGCCUAGAUCAUGGUUCAAUUGGCUACCUUGGGCUGGUCUGUGUUACAACACUUCUUAUCAUGUUACAGCCAAGAUCACCCCUUUCCAAGCAGUGUAUGGGCGCGAGCCACCAGUAUUAUUGCGAUUUGAAAAUGGAUCCACAUCCAUAUCAGCUCUAGACCAACAGUUACAAGAAAGGGAUCACAUGUUAGAGGAACUGAAAGCACAACUGUUGCGGGCUCAAAUGAAAAUGAAGGACCUGGCAGAUAAAAAAAGAAGAGAGGUGCAGUUUGAGAUAGGCGAUCUGGUUUAUCUGAAAAUCAGACCAUAUCGUCGCAAAACCUUGUCCGCGAGACCAAAUGAAAAGCUAUCUCCGAGAUUUUAUGGACCUUUUACUGUAGAGAAGAAAAUUAGAUCAGUUGCGUAUAAGCUGGCCUUACCGCCUACCUGCAACAUUCAUCCUGUUUUCCAUGUUUCCCAGUUGCGCAGAGCUGUGGGAGCUAUACAAGCUGUGAAGGAAGUACCCCAGAAAUUAAGUGAUGAAUUAGAGAUGCUGGUAGAACCGGAGGCAUUAUUGGGAGUGAGACCAGCUGUGGGAUCCAACAUCAGAGGCUUGGAUGUCUUAAUCCAAUGGAAACUCUUAGAAGCUACUUGGGAGUCCUAUGACUUGAUGAAACAGCAAUUCCCUACCUUCCACCUUGAGGACAAGGUGGAUCUCAUGGGGGGAAGUGAUGAUAGACCCGAAAUCAGAUUGAGGUACCAGAGACGCAGCAAAGUAAGCACGGGCAGUAAGGGAAUUAACCAGGGAAGAGAAGGCACGUGCAGCAGUUGUAUGGUUAGGGAAAUCUGUUAGGAAGUUUCAUGGGCUACAGCUUAUAAAUAGAGGCAACAGAAUAUGGAAUACCAGGCUGAAAUUGUUACUCAUUGGGAGAGUAGUGGACCUCUCAAACGUCCAUAGUUAUCCUCGUUAUUUCUUUCCUUUCAUUUUGCAUUAUCAGAAUUGUUAUCCUUUAAUUCCGUGUAAUCAAUGUUCA
rnacentral:lncRNA from 1 species